rnacentral:rRNA from 1 species
ACGAACGCUGGCGGCGUGCCUAAUACAUGCAAGUCGAACGGUCUUUCUAUGGAAGCUUGCUUCCACUGAGAAGAUAGUGGCGAACGGGUGAGUAACACGUGGGUAACCUGCCCAUAAGAGGGGGGAGUAACAUCCGGAAACGGGUGCUAAUACCGCAUAGUUUUCUUGAUCGCAUGAUCGGGAAAGGAAAGACGGCCUUUGUGCUGUCGCUUAUGGAUGGACCCGCGGCGUAUUAGUUAGUUGGUGAGGUAACGGCUCACCAAGACGAUGAUACGUAGCCGACCUGAGAGGGUGAUCGGCCACAUUGGGACUGAGACACGGCCCAAACUCCUACGGGAGGCAGCAGUAGGGAAUCUUCCGCAAUGGACGAAAGUCUGACGGAGCAACGCCGCGUGAGUGAAGAAAAGGUUUUCGGAUCGUAAAACUCUGUUGUCAGAGAAGAACAAGUUGGAGAGUAACUGCUCCAGCCUUGACGGUAUCUGACCAGAAAGCCACGGCUAACUACGUGCCAGCCGCGGC